CCUACGGGAGGCAGCAGUAGGGAAUAUUGCUCAAUGGGGGAAACCCUGAAGCAGCAACGCCGCGUGGAGGAUGAAGGUUUUCGGAUUGUAAACUCCUUUUGUUAGAGAAGAUAAUGACGGUAUCUAACGAAUAAGCACCGGCUAACACCGUGCCAGCAGCCGCGGGAAUACGGGGGGUGCAAGCGUUACACGGAAUCACUGGGCGUAAAGAGCGCGUAGGCGGGAUAGCAAGUCAGAUGUGAAAACCUAUGGCUUAACCAUAGCACUGCAUUUGAAACUGGUAUUCUAGAGUAUGGGAGAGGUAGGUGGAAUGCUUGGUGUAGGGGUAAAAUCCGUAGAUAUCAAGAGGAAUACUGAUUGCGAAGGCGACCUGCUAGAACAUAACUGACGCUGAGGCGCGAAAGCGUGGGGAGCAAACAGGAUUAGAUACCCGAGUAGUC
rnacentral:rRNA from 1 species